AAAUCAUUCACUAAAACAUAAACCGUUAUUUAAGACCAACAUUUAGGGAUGAGUUAAUAAUCUUGUCUCAAAAAAUACUUGUAUUGGGAAGAGAUUAUAUUUUCGUCCCGGAUUCUAUAUGUUAUUAUGAAGCAGCUGUGCAAAUCGCAUCUCUCUGGGAAAACUGUGCUAAUACUCUCUGAUUUAAUCCGCUCUUUCCCAAAAUAAAGCACGGGUUGCAACUCAACUAGAGGACUUUGUCUAUGAGUUGAUUUUCAUCAAAUUCAUUCUGAGGAUAACUUUGGGAGUGUUGACAAGAAGAAAGAAAUGAAGUGGUAAGAUAAGAGUUGCAUUUGAAGAACCAGCUGCAGUAGUUGUUUCUGUCACCUCCAUCUCACUUAUCUCCAAAGGUCUUAUCUUUUUGGAAUUCCUAUCAAUAGUGGUUGGUGAAGUAUGUUGCUUUUCCAUGUAGGAAAUAAUGGAGUAAGUUGCUUGUGUGUUGUUUGAGGUACCCCAAGAUGACUUCCUUAGCUGAAUUUGAAAUAGUUUGUUGGACAACAUCUCAUGGACAUGAUUAACAUGCAAUGAUUGCCUCUGUAAAUGUAAAGAGUGAGAAGAAACUCUUUGUGACAAUAGAUGUGUUGGCUGGAAUAAGAGAUCACCUUAGCACAGGUUAUGUCAAAUAUGUCUUCCGCUGUCAUGGAGAGUAGUUUUUCUCCCAGUUCACCAGAGAUAGAUGUUGUGACUGUAGCAGUACCGUCAGUAAGAUCAAUUUGAAAGAUACACCUGAAAUCAUGAUAAGUUAAAAACAUGAGUGUUUGUUACUUUUCGUUUUUCUGACUUUUUGAGAUUUGAUUUAUUAUUAUAGGGACAAUUUAUGAUUCAUUCUUAAUACAUAUCAAUAAUGUUUGUUGUUA